AUUGAACGCUGGCGGAAUGCUUUACACAUGCAAGUCGAACGGUAGAGGGGGCAACCCCUCGAGAGUGGCGAACGGGUGAGUAAUGUACCGGAACGUGCCCAGUCGUGGGGGAUAACGUAGUGAAAAUUACGCUAAUACCGCAUACGAUCUAUGGAUGAAAGCGGGGGAUCGCAAGACCUCGCGCGAUUGGAGCGGCCGAUAUCAGAUUAGGUAGUUAGUGGGGUAAAGGCCCACCAAGCCAACGAUCUGUAGCUGGUCUGAGAGGACGACCAGCCACACCGGAACUGAGACACGGUCCAGACUCCUACGGGAGGCAGCAGUGGGGAAUUUUGGACAAUGGGCGAAAGCCUGAUCCAGCCAUUCCGCGUGCAGGAUGAAGGCCCUCGGGUUGUAAACUGCUUUUGUACAGAACGAAAAGGUUUCUACUAAUACUAGGAGCUCAUGACGGUACUGUAAGAAUAAGCACCGGCUAACUACGUGCCAGCCGCCGCCGUAA
rnacentral:rRNA from 1 species